CACUUUUUAGACAUGCUUAAUUUCGUGGCACAGUAAGUCAGUUUUGCAUCUUUUUGCGACACAGUGGUUCAGUUUUACUAUCAAACCAGAGGUUAAACUAACCCCUUUCUAGCCCCAGGAGGAGCGUGGGGAGUUUUCGCAUGACACCUACACACUGCAGCCGACACACUAAUGUGUCGUGACACAGCAUGGACUACGCAGGAAGGAUUCGAAACCUGCAGGACCAGAGAUUCACAAAAGAUUGGAAGAAAUAUACGAACUAUUUGAAGAGCAACUGUAAUCAACAAAUUACGCUAGUAGGACUACAAGAAGUUUUGUAAGGAGAAAUGUAUGAAACAUUGCAAAGUAGAGAAAGAACAGAGAUAUCAGUUAUUAGUUAAAUGUAAUUGUGGAAGUAAGAAAUGUAUAUUUAGUGAAUAGAAUGAAAAAUUUUCAGAUGUGAUUGAUGGAAGUUCAAAAAAAUGGUAUAAGAUAUGAAGUAUGUUUAAUUACUGUUGAAAAUGAUAUGUUGAAAAACUAAUAAAAAAAUUAUAUAUAUAUAAAAAAAAAGCUCUAUGCUAGGCCUUACUACUCCCUGCAUCGGGAGAUGUUGCGCAGGCCAGUGUGACCUUGUGCCAGGCAUGCCAGUCCCCACAGUGUCUCCCAGCACUUCACGGGCCGGUGCAGCCUUCUGCUAACUGCAGGUAGGCCUGGCGGAGCCUGGCAGGCCAUGGAAUAUUGAGGGGGCCUGCCCCCCUUUGAAAACUGGGGGGCCCUUGACCCCCCAGCCCCCUAGAUGGUGCCUCUGGUUUUGAGGAUAAAAUAAGGGGGGAGAAGUAUGUACACCUUAUCGAGCUCCUUCGAGGAAAGGUGGGAUAUAAAUGUAACAAUAUAACAAUAACAAAUUAAAAAGUCGCCAUAACUCCAGUCUGAAAUAGCCAGAGAACAUAGAAUUACAAGAGGCCAACAACGACAGAUCAUCAAGGUACCCUGUCAAAAAAGUUGGUGCAUAGACAGUGACAAUUCCAAAGGGUGUAGAAGCAGUUUGGCUAAAACCAGAACUGCAAACAGGUAUGUGGAGAGGGCUGUUGAUGACUCCUAGCUGUGAUGCCUCCACAGUCAGAGGCAGCAAUGCUUCUGAAUUACUGUUGCUGGAAACCACAGGAGGGGAGAAGUCUCUUGGGCUCAGAUCCUGCUUUUGGGUUUCCCAUUGGGGUAUCUGGUUGGCCACUGAGAGAACAGGAUGCUGGACUAGGUGAACCAUUGGCCUGAUCUAUGAAGCUCUGCUUAUGUUCUUCUGAGUUACAAUUGGCAGCAAAGAGGGUUUAGAGAUGUGCAGUAAGAUAGUGAGAUUCAAAUUUGCACCGCCUUUGCAAGAAGACCAGUGGCUCUUUCUUCCUCUUUCUCCCUGUUCCGAACAGCCACCAUCAGAAAUCCAACAGGGCUACACUUUGCACUUUUGAACUUCGGCUCUUCUAGAUCCUUGUUGCUCGGCAGUGCUUCUGCACAGGAUGAAGCGAUGGAGGAUGCUAGCAAUUAGGACGUAAUGAUCAAUGAUCUUGGAGACAGCCUGUCUGGCUUGGCUUGGGAGCAUCAGGGCUGCUUUUCCUGGGGAAGCAGAGCUCUGAGCUGUGGCUUCUCUGCAAGGAAGAAUGCUGUCAACGGAGGUCUCCUUUGCACAUGCUUUGCAUCAGCCUGGGUUGCUGGGUCCUGGAAAGACAAAGGUGAAAGGAUGCAGUUUGGUCCUACCUUCUGCAGUAUGUCAACUGCAUCCUCAGCAAACAAGCACCCAGUCUUCUUUUCUUCCCUGGGCACCUCAUUCCAAGCAUUCAUUGCUCUCUUGGCUGGGAAGCUUUAUCUAAG